rnacentral:ncRNA from 1 species
UUAGUCUCAGGGAUCAGAAGGGGUGAACAAGACCCUAGAC